AACGUAGGAGACAAACGUUAUCCGGAGUUACUGGGCGUAAAGGGCGUGUAGGUGGUUACGUAAGUCUGGCGUGAAAUUUCUCGGCUUAACCGAGGCAGGUCGUCGGAUACUGCGAGACUAGAGUUCGGCAGGGGAGACUGGAAUUCCUGGUGUAGCGGUGAAAUGCGCAGAUAUCAGGAGGAACACCGGUGGCGAAGGCGGGUCUCUGGGCCGAUACUGACGCUGAGGAGCGAAAGCGUGGGGAGCGAACAGG
rnacentral:rRNA from 1 species